AUAACGACUCUCGGCAACGGAUAUCUCGGCUCUCGCAUCGAUGAAGAACGUAGCAAAAUGCGAUACUUGGUGUGAAUUGCAGAAUCCCGUGAACCAUCGAGUUUUUGAACGCAAGUUGCGCCCGAAGCCUUUUGGUCGAGGGCACGUCUGCCUGGGUGUCACGC
rnacentral:rRNA from 1 species